AGUGAACGCUGGCGGUAGGCCUAACACAUGCAAGUCGAACGGCAGCACAGGAGAGCUUGCUCUCUGGGUGGCGAGUGGCGGACGGGUGAGGAAUACAUCGGAGUCUACUCUGUCGUGGGGGAUAACGUAGGGAAACUUACGCUAAUACCGCAUACGACCUACGGGUGAAAGCAGGGGACCUUCGGGCCUUGUGCGAUUGAAUGAGCCGAUGUCGGAUUAGCUAGUUGGCGGGGUAAAGGCCCACCAAGGCGACGAUCCGUAGCUGGUCUGAGAGGAUGAUCAGCCACACUGGAACUGAGACACGGUCCAGACUCCUACGGGAGGCAGCAGUGGGGAAUAUUGGACAAUGGGCGCAAGCCUGAUCCAGCCAUACCGCGUGGGUGAAGAAGGCCUUCGGGUUGUAAAGCCCUUUUGUUGGGAAAGAAAUCCAGCUGGCUAAUACCCGGUUGGGAUGACGGUACCCAAAGAAUAAGCACCGGCUAACUUCGUGCCAGCCGCCGCGGUAA
rnacentral:rRNA from 1 species